rnacentral:rRNA from 1 species
UACGUAGGGUCCGAGCGGUGUCCGGAAUUACUGGGCGUAAAGAGCUCGUAGGUGGUUUGUCGCGUUGUUCGUGAAAACUCACAGCUUAACUGUGGGCGUGCGGGCGAUACGGGCAGACUGGAGUACUGCAGGGGAGACUGGAAUUCCUGGUGUAGCGGUGGAAUGCGCAGAUAUCAGGAGGAACACCGGUGGCGAAGGCGGGUCUCUGGGCAGUAACUGACGCUGAGGAGCGAAAGCGUGGGGAGCGAACAGG